ACGGUAGAGGGGCAACCCUUGAGAGUGGCGAACGGGUGAGUAAUAUAUCGGAACGUGCCCGGUCGUGGGGGAUAACGCAGCGAAAGCUGCGCUAAUACCGCAUACGAUCUAUGGAUGAAAGCGGGGGAUCGCAAGACCUCGCGCGAUUGGAGCGGCCGAUAUCAGAUUAGGUAGUUGGUGGGGUAAAAGCCCACCAAGCCGACGAUCUGUAGCUGGUCUGAGAGGACGACCAGCCACACUGGGACUGAGACACGGCCCAGACUCCUACGGGAGGCAGCAGUGGGGAAUUUUGGACAAUGGGCGCAAGCCUGAUCCAGCAAUGCCGCGUGCAGGACGAAGGCCUUCGGGUUGUAAACUGCUUUUGUACGGAGCGAAACGGUCUGGGUUAAUACCCUGGGCUAAUGACGGUACCGUAAGAAUAAGCACCGGCUAACUACGUGCCAGCAG
rnacentral:rRNA from 1 species